GGAAGACACAGAGAGAGGAGAGAAAGAGAAAUAUUUAGUUUCACAUAAAAUAUAGAUUCUUGUAUUGUUGGUGCACCAGUGGAGACAUGUAAAUUAUGUAUAAGCUGUAUGUGUGUGGAUGUGUCUGUGGAUGUGAUUACCAUCAUAAACUAAGCAGCAGCCUUAAUGGCCUGGAAGAGUGUGAUGUGUGUGUUUGUUUAAUGGUGGGGCCAGUAUUGAAUUUCCUCUCUGAAUUAUUGAGGACUAUUACUGACCCUUCCCAGGAGAACUCACUAGUUUAACACCAGACCUCUUUAUGAACUUAGGAUGGACUACACGUCAAGGCUUUUGAGAGGGUUCUGCUGCUCGGUGAGCGUUUCACUGUAACCGCCCCUUAAUUUCCCUCUGACUGGGCUCCCGUCCCCUCCCCUACUGACUGCAACAUGGUACAGUCCAGAUGGCCUGGCCCAUAUGGCAAGGUCUUUUUGAAGGUGACCAUUGUGGGUGGGUGAGGAGGGAGGGAGGGGGGAGACUCGCUAACCUGGCGUUAUGUGCCAUCACUUUUUACUGUGGAGCAGAGAAAGAGGGGGAGGAAAGGGAACGGGAGGGAGAGGAGAAAUUAGAAAGAGUGGGGCAGAAUACAAAUGACUUUUCUCCCCAAAGGACAUGAAAAAGUCCCUCCAUUCACCAGUGGAAUCACUGCAGGAAUGAUAAUAAAGAGUAACAAGAGGGAGGCAGAGAGAAACCCUUGGAGAAAGGCGGAGGGAAGGAAAGAAAAACAAAGAAAUACAGAAAGAAAGAUGACAAAGACUUUCAGAUAAGAGAAAGACAGGAAAAUGAUUCAGUUAGAAUAAAAAAACAAAAUCCCUUCAUCUCUGUUGUCUUCAGCUCCAGACGAAUAGUUUUAGAGUUAAUCUUCAAAAACCUUCCCUGCAGGAACCAAAACAGAUGAAGGAAAUUACACUGACCCAUAAUCCUUAACCUGCCUGUCUGCCCCUCUCUCUCUUCACCCUGUCUUUAUGCAUCAAAGGAGAAUGACAGAGCCAUUGGUGUAAAAAGUAUUUAGACCUUUUACUUGAAUAAAAGUAGUAAUGCCACAGUGUACAAGUUACAUGCUCAAAUUUUUACUUAAAGGUGAAUUCUGUUUUGUUACGAUCAAACGAGGCAAGAAACAUGAGUAGCGAGUGUGACAGUAACCAGAUUACCUAAACCACUUUACUGGGAUCAAACUGAAAGUGAAUGCACCUGCACCUGAAAUGUUGGUAACACCUCAUUGCACAGGAAAACUGUGUGUGCAACACGAGUAUGGUAGGUCAUAGCGGACCCAGGAAGUUGGUCUGUUAACAGUUUAUCUUCUCUUUCCCUUGAAAUUCCCUGUUGUAAUGAACCUGAAUUAUCCUUUAAAGCUUCACAAUCAAAUCAAUAUUUUUGUAUAAACAAUGGAUGGAAGUCUAAAAGGAAAGGGGUCGCUCAUGGCUCCAAAUGAAUGCUAAUGUUGCUCUGUGUGUGCUGGAUGUGUUAUACUGGACUGGAUUCAUCAGGUGGACACAAACUCAACUCCAAUGGGAUGAUAAUGUUGCUCCAUGUCUGCUUGAUGUGUAAAUAAGCAACUUGCUAACACAUUAGCCAUGACAACUUUAUUCCAGUGUUGUGUUUUCAACUUGUUACGCCACCCCCAAGUGGCCAAAGAAUAAUGAAUACAGCUUUAAGUAGUAUUAUAUUUUUUAUAUAUCUUAUAUUAUUGCAUUUAAAUGUUGUAGCUGCUUGUACAAUUAGGUAGUUUGAUAUAUAAAAAUGCUUCAUAUAUUAUUCGAUAAUUAAUGUUUUGUAUGUGAAACCUUUAUCUGCAGCAAGUAACUAGUAUUUAGUUACUUUCCACCACUGCUGUCUCGUCGCCUGUCUGUUCUGAUAAACAACACAGCACCGUGUCCACAGCAGUCAAUAGGCAUGGAUCAGCGUGUGUGUGUGUGAGACACACACACACACACAGACACACACACACACACACACACACACACACACAGACUAGAGAAAUCAACUGUAGCUCAGCAAAGGUAAUGCAUCCCUAAACCUACCUCGCAAAACAAAAACCACUCCCCAACUCUUAAGGGAGGUUUCUGAUCCCACUGAUCUACUGGGAUAUCAACACACACACACACACACGUACACACAUACAUAUGCGCUGGCAAGGACCUUUUGUUCCAGCUGACUGGGAGAAUGGUUCUCCUUGUGCUGAUUAUCUCACUCCCCCCCGUGGGCUGAUCCUCCCUCACCCCCCUCCUGCCCACUCUUCCCUCUUGCCCAUCAGGGCUGAAGUGGCUCCCUCACCCUUUGUAAAGCCACCAUCCCCCACCUCUACCCACCCUCCUUACCCCCUUCCCCCCCUCCUCAUUCCUCCUCCUUUCACCAAGCAGCUUCUCCACUGUCUUUACAUCUGAAAGAGAACAGUUGCAGAGGGUGAGGAAAACAACAACUAUAAUGGAAAGAAAGGGAGGCUAAAAACAAAGAGAGGGCAACAAAAAGCAGCUGAUCUAAUGGCCAAACUAAUCUUUGAUGACAAAUGGCUGACAGCACCACCACACACACUUUCUGUUGUCUGCUGCUCCCUUGCUAACCUUGCCUGGGGCAUGAGAACCGGGUGGAGAGACAAUUGGCUUUCCAACAGCAUGAGUUCAGAGGGAGAACCACAGGCUGUGUUUGUGUGUGUAUGAUGUGGAUGUAAAGGGAGGGUGCAGAUGGUGAUAUGCACUUUAGAUUUAGAUUUGGGGAGAGGGAGAAAUGUAGUGCUGAAAUGAUUAGCAAAUAUAUUGAUUAGUCGAGCCACAAAAAAAAUAAUCGCAGAUAAGUUUGAUAAUUAAUUAAAGUCAUUUAUAGACUUUAAUUAAUUAUACUCAAUCAGAACUAGUUCUGACGACGUGCUGUCCAACCACUUCGGAAAGAGACUUCAUAGAGAGGGGGGAGACGUGAUAUCAUUUAAAUAGGGGAUCACGGCAGACAUUUUCUUUCCUGGAAGGCAUUCAUAGUGUUGCACUCAGUAAGAUAUUUCAGUCAAUAUGGUAAUCCAUAUGGUAAAUGUUGAGAUUAGAGCUGAAACAAUUAGUUGAUUGGCUGAAAAUUAAUUGCCAAUUGUUUUGUUAAUCGAGUAAUUGUUUAAGUAAUUUUUCAAGCGAAACUGCUUCUCCAAUGUGAGGAUUUGCGGCUCUUCUUUACCAAAUGUGAUAGUAAACUGGCUCUCUUUAGGGUUUGGACUGUUGGUCGGACAAAACAAGCAUUUGGAAGACAUCACAUUGGGCAUAGGAAAUAGUAUUUGUGAAAAAUUGGGAUUUUGACAUAGAAUUAAUGACUUAUCAAAUAAUUGUUUUGUCUGUAUAAGAUUUUGAUCUUCUGGUGGCGCCUGAGAAGUCAGAGGAUCACGAAAGUUUUUACAAUUCAUCCUAAUGGGGACACGAUUGUCUGUACCUAAUUUCACAGCAAUUCAUCUAUUUCCAUCUGGACCAAAGUGCUAGACCAACCAACUGACCUAUAGACCGGCAUUUACAACCCUAGAGCCAUGCUACUAGCAUGGAUAAAAACGGCAAACAUUAGCUAGUACCAGCUUUUCAAAUGUGAGGAUUUGCUGUUUUUCUGUUUUAUAUUAUUAUAAAUUGAAUACCUUUGAGAUUUGACCGAUGGUAAGACAAAACAAGCAAUUUGAAGAUGUUACCAUCGGCUCCGGAAACUUAUGCUGAGCAUUUUUCACUGUUUUCUGGCAUUUUAUCGACUAAACAAAAGGAAUCAGUCAUGAAAAGAAUCUUUUGUUGCUGCCUUAGGUGGAUGACGUCAUAGAGGGGCAGGGAUGGGAAACAGAAGGCUUGACAAGGGCACAGCAUGACAGGACAGUUCUUCUCCCCAGCUGAGUCAGCAGCAGUCAUCCCCCAAGCUCACAACAACACACACACAGCCGCACAUACUGCGUGUUUUUGUCAUUACCUACUAGUCUCUAUGGAGCAGAGACAGAGAGGAAGAGGCAAAGAUAUAAACCUUGUCUUACUGGUGUAAAAGCAACUGCAGCCUAAUUACUUUGGGUCCAUGCAAACCUCAUUCACCGAAAAUCUGUCUUUUCAGUACCCAAAUGCUCACUUCCUGUAUGUCUUGAAAUGUGGCUCUGAAAAAUGUUAUUAAUUUGAAUAAGCCAGUCUGUCGAUGGAAUGGGGGUACCAACGCAGAGGGCUUCAGCAAAAAUGUUGACCUUUGCUCAGCUGUCCCCGGAAGGCAAUGCAACAUCAUCCAGAAAGGCACUGCAGUUGCCAAUCAAAUAUUCGUAAGUGCACAUUCCUGGUAGAUUAUUUUGUAACAUGAAUGCCAUAUUUAUCCUGUUCACCUGCCGAUCAUUGCAACAAAAGAUUAAAUGAUAGCUGUCGUAAUAACUUAAAAAACACCAAUAACUCAACCAUAAUUGUUGCAAUGUUUUGGCAUCUGAUGAGCCUUCACACUCAUGGAUCUAACACUUAAACUGGACUUCCUGGAUCAUAUUUAUUUGUCUCACUGGUACCUGAAACAACACUCUCCCACCAUCGCAGCUCCUUGCCUUUUUUUUUUUUUUUUUAAACACUGGGCUGUUUUCGGUCUGUACACCCACUAUAUCAAAUCUCUCAGCCGUUAAGUCCAAGUCAAGUCUCAAGUCUCAGAUCUGUAACUCUGUUCCAAACACUCAUAGUUUCUCCACAACAGAGCUAAAUACUCUCUCUACCUCUGUGUCCCACCAUCACCUCCUCAGUUCUGAAGCUCCACAGGAAGUAGCAUAGUUAUCAUUUUUUGGUAAAGCAGUGAUUAUUGAUGUGGAUUAUGUGGUGGUUUGAGAGGUUUUGAUGGACGUUUGAUGCUUCUUUUUCCCUGACUUUGAAUUGCCAUUGUAACUGUUGAAGGAGCAACUUUCAAGCCAACACAGGAAGAGUAUUUAAAACUCAAAAGACAGCUUUUCAGUGGAGCAUUCCUUAAUGGUUUGUCUUUAAAUACUUUCUUGUCCAAACAAUAUUUGUAUUAACAUAAUAAUAUUUUCCAGAUGAGUUUGGCUAAUGACAGACAUGAGCGCAAAGUGGGAUUGCGUACAGUAUGUUGUCCUCAAAUGUAGAGACAAACAAGGAGAAGGGUGUGAGGAGACGGAAGCUCUUUCCUUACAGCUCCCAGAGGACGGCUCAGAGGGUGACUCUUGCACCUCUCUUGGCAAACAAUACAAAGAGAAAAAAGGUACAGUAAUAAGAAGUUUCAUAUUCAGUGUCUACUCUGCAUCUCUGCAAACUGGGUUGCAUUUCCUCAGCGCUCAUAUGUACAGUAUGUAUUCAGCCUUUGAGGAUGUGUUUAUUGGAAGCUUCAAAUGUCUUCAUGAUAUGCUGUGUGCUGUUAUUCUACAUGUUUUGUUUUUUUUACUGUUAAUGGGAUGGCAGUGUCUAUUAUCUGCUGUCAUACUGUGAGUUUACUUCAAAGCGAGUCAUUCUGUGGCAGCGAGCCGACUGUUUCUCCUACUGUAUUCAUCUACACCUUACACAAACUCACACAAAACCCCUUUUGUGUUGCACUUCAAAGUGUAUGCAUACAAUCUGUUGUCUUACGCAAACAGCAGACACACACACACACACACACAGAGUUGCUUAUCCCAUCACUGUCAAUACUUAGCACACAAUAGAAAAAUUGCCUCCCAUUACAGGUAUUUUUGUUUGGCAAACAUACUGUAAUAACAGUAGAAAAAAUUGUGUCGUGUGUGUGACCUGAAUAUGCAAACUGUAGAGACAGAUACAAAGGGAGAGGAGGAAAUGUGCACUGGAUUUACAGUGAUGUCAAGUAUGUGAAAAUGCUGAGAAGAAACCAUGAGAACAAGAUAAAUUGGCCAAGCUGCAGUUUUUACCACCAUGGGAGAAACCGAAAUUUUAAAAAGAGCUUCAUCAGCCAAUAUACACACAUACAAACAUACUUUUGCUGACUGACCUUAAAUACACUCAUGUCAUCUUGACGUUUCCAUAAUUACUGAGAAAAUCUGAAUUUUCUGACAGCUCCGAUAUACCUGACCUGGUUGUUAACAAUACAGAUUAAGGUUGAAUGUCAUGAUUAUAUUAAAAUAUUAUUGACUGAUGUCAAAUAUACCAUGUAUGUAAUAUCCUAAUAAAUAUUUGGUCAAGUUUUUCUCUGACAGACUGGUUUCAAAAAAAUUGAAAUAUGAAAAAUCAAGACCUCUGGAAUGACCUAAACAAGCGACUGCAUUAUAUGAUCUAAAUCUGUUCAUGUAGAAGCUUGUACCAGCAAACAUAUCUUGUUUAAUACAUAAAUGCAGUUCAAAUUUAAAGAAAAGUAAUUACAAGUUAAAUCUCAAUAUUGGUCAGUGCCUAAAAAAGCCAACAGACACGAACGCCUUCCAAGUAAUUAAAUACUAAUUUAAUGGAUGCUGUAGUGCUAUUUUGACCACUGAGAGUAUUUUUUACUUCAGUCAUUCAGUGUUCAAAUGACACUUAUUGUUAGAAAAUGAUUUGUUAUCCAGAUACUAAUACUUUUGAUAUUCUUUUAAGAAUUCUAGACAAUGUUUCUAGUUCUAUUUUGUUAGUACUGAUUGAUGCCAAUUUUUUUUGUGGUUGAUGUUGGAUUUACGCCCCCGGCUGUAACAAUAUUUAUUGCACAUUUUAUUCUUUGUAAUGACCCAUUUCUCUGUGGUAAUCAAUAAUAUUCAUCCGAAUAUCC